rnacentral:lncRNA from 1 species
CUGACCUUGUGAUCCACCCACCUCAGCCUCCCAAAGUGCUGGGAUUGCAGGUGCGAGCCACCGGGUCCAGCCUCUCAGGCGAUUUUCAUACCUGCAUACUCUGAUCACUACUCUGUUAAACAGUCAAGGAGGCUGAGUGCCACGUGCUGACAUCACUAAGAUCAAUACAGCAAACUCUGAAAGAUGGACAGAGAGACAGGAGAUGGUCCUUUAUAAUGCAGUGUGAUCUGUGCUGCAAUAGAGUUUUGGAAGCUAGAAGUUCAAAAUGAGGUGUUGGCAGCACCAUGCUCUCUCUGAAGAUGCUAGGAAGAAUCUGCUCCAUGCCUUUCCAUUCGCUUCUGGGGUUUCCUGCAAGCCCUGACAUUCCUUGGCUUGUAGAUGCAUCACCCCAGUUUCCGCCCCCAUCAUCACAUGGCCUCCUCUCUGUGUGUGCCUCUGCAUUCCCUCUAUUCUUCUUCUAAGGACACCGACACCAGUCAUAGUGGAUUAAGGGUCCACUCCUAACUAAUUACAUCUGCAACAACCCUAUUUCCAAAUAAAGUCACAUUCUAAGAUUCCUAGGGAGAACAUGAAUUUUUGGGGGUGUGUGGAUACUGUUCAACCUGGGACAUGGAGUAAAUAAAUGGCAAGGAAAAUUACAGAUGACUUUAAGCUAAAGAGGGAGAUAGGGUUAAAUGUAGGACUUUUUUUUUUUCCAGGACGGGAGAGGUUUAAACAUGUUACUACAUUGAAUAAAUGAAAUAA